GGGCGUAAAGCGCAUGCAGGCGGUUUGUUAAGUCAGAUGUGAAAGCCCGGGGCUCAACCUCGGAACCGCAUUUGAAACUGGCAGGCUAGAGUCUUGUAGAGGGGGGUAGAAUUUCAGGUGUAGCGGUGAAAUGCGUAGAGAUCUGAAGGAAUACCAGUGGCGAAGGCGGCCCCCUGGACAAAGACUGACGCUCAGAUGCGAAAGCGUGGGUAGCAAACAGGAUUAGAUACCCUGGUAGUCCACGCCGUAAACGCUGUCUACUUGGAGGUUGAGGUUUAGACUUUGGCUUUCGGCGCUAACGCAUUAAGUAGACCGCCUGGGGAGUACGGCCGCAAGGUUAAAACUCAAAUGAAUUGACGGGGGCCCGCACAAGCGGUGGAGCAUGUGGUUUAAUUCGAUGCAACGCGAAGAACCUUACCUACUCUUGACAUCCAGCGAAGCCUUUAGAGAUAGAGGCGUGCCUUCGGGAGCGCUGAGACAGGUGCUGCAUGGCUGUCGUCAGCUCGUGUUGUGAAAUGUUGGGUUAAGUCCCGCAACGAGCGCAACCCUUAUCCUUGUUUGCCAGCACGUAAUGGUGGGAACUCCAGGGAGACUGCCGGUGAUAAACCGGAGGAAGGUGGGGACGACGUCAAGUCAUCAUGGCCCUUACGAGUAGGGCUACACACGUGCUACAAUGGCAGAUACAGAGGGCAGCGAAGCUGCGAAGUGGAGCGAAUCCCUUAAAGUCUGUCGUAGUCCGGAUUGGAGUCUGCAACUCGACUCCAUGAAGUCGGAAUCGCUAGUAAUCGUGGAUCAGAAUGCCACGGUGAAUACGUUCCCGGGCCUUGUACACACCGCCCGU
rnacentral:rRNA from 1 species